CCCCUCUCAGGGUCACACCUGGUGAGUUUCCAGUACUCUUCCAGUCUUGGCUCCGGGAGGGAGAGUCAAGCAGAAGAAUACCCAUUCCAUUCCCAUCUUGGCCAGUGGCUAGCGAGUGGAAGGCAAUCUGCUACAAGU
rnacentral:snoRNA from 1 species